UACGUAGGGGGCAAGCGUUGUCCGGAUUUAUUGGGCGUAAAGCGCUCGCAGGUGGUUCAUUGCGUCGUGCGUGAAAGACCCCGGCUCAACUGGGGAGGGUCGUGCGAAACGGGUGAACUAGAGGCCAGUAGGGGGAUGCGGAAUUCCGGGUGUAGUGGUGGAAUGCGUAGAUAUCUGGAGGAAUACCGGUGGCGAAGGCGGCUAUCUGGCCCAACAUUGACGCUGAGACCCGAAAGCAUGGGGAUCAAACAGG
rnacentral:rRNA from 1 species